rnacentral:rRNA from 1 species
AGCGAACGCUGGCGGCAGGCUUAACACAUGCAAGUCGAGCGGGCACUUCGGUGUCAGCGGCAGACGGGUGAGUAACACGUGGGAACGUACCCUUUGGUUCGGAAUAACGCUGGGAAACUAGCGCUAAUACCGGAUACGCCCUUUUGGGGAAAGGCUUGCUGCCGAAGGAUCGGCCCGCGUCUGAUUAGCUAGUUGGUGGGGUAAUCGCCUACCAAGGCGACGAUCAGUAGCUGGUCUGAGAGGAUGAUCAGCCACACUGGGACUGAGACACGGCCCAGACUCCUACGGGAGGCAGCAGUGGAGAAUAUUGGACAAUGGGCGCAAGCCUGAUCCAGCCGUGCCGCGUGAGUGAUGAAGGCCUUAGGGUUGUAAAGCUCUUUUGUCCGGGACGAUAAUGACGGUACCGGAAGAAUAAGCCCCGGCUAACUUCGUG